UUCAAAAACUCGUUCUCAUACGAUCACCGAUAUUAAGCAACGUCGAGCCUGGUCAGUACCUAGAUGGGUGACGGUUUAGGAGUACCAGGUGCUGUAAG